GCUGGGUCAAAUGGUAUUUCUAAAAGAACUAAGAAUUUUUAAAAAGAUUUUGGUUAUGUAAUUAGAGUGCACAAUAGAAUAAAACAGCCAGGUUAAAAAAAAAAGAGACAUGCGGCUUCAUCCACAAGCUUAGCAAAAUAUGAGAAAGUAAGAAACUGUGGCCAAAUCAGAUAAACAUAAAUGAGAAUAAGUUGUAGAAACUGACCUUCAAGUUAAUAAUUAAAUCAGAUGGUAUCAUUUUCCUCCAUCUGGUUAUUAUUGUUUAGAUUUUUAAUAGUACAAAAAUAAAUGUUUUAUGAAUUAUUUUGGAUGCAAUUACAGUAAAUAACCAUAAUAUAAAAUGUCUCAUAAUAGGAAAAUAAUGCCUGACACUUUUAAUUACUUAACAUACCUUUUUAUACAUUUUUUAAUGUCAUUUAUUUGGCAGCUAUUUAAGGAGUGCCCUCUGUAUCCUGGGCCAUCUCUUUCUAUCCAGAGUCCUACAAGUCACCUUGUAUCAUUAUUAGGAUAUAGUAUAAAAAUUUGUCCACUUUUAAAUGGAGAAAUAAUACAGAUAAGUAAAAAAAUGAUGUAAUAAUUUGAGUUCUGUACAUGACUCAGAGACUUGGACAGAAUUGACAAUUCUAAGUUUUUAAGUUAAACCAAAGCUGAAAUUUCUAAUCAUUUAGAAGCUAGGAAAAGUUCUGUUUCAAAUUCAAUUGAUCACUUCAUGAACAGUUUGUUCAUAAUUACUUCUUCUCUGCCUUUCAGCGUAGUCUUGUUCAAUUGUUCAGAGUGUCCUUUUUUUUUUUUUUUUUUUUUUUUGAGACAGAGUCUCACUCUUUUGCCCAGGCCGGACUGCAGUGGCACUAUCUCCGCUCACUGCAAGUUCCACCUCCUGGGGUCACGCCAUUCUCCUGCCUCAGCCUCCCGAGUAGCUGGGAGUACAGGCGCCCGCCACCACGCCCGGCUAAUUUUUUGUAUUUUUAGUAGAGACGGGGUUUCACCUUGUUAGCCAGGAUGCUCUCGAUCUCCUGACCUCGUGAUCCUCCCGCCUCGGCCUCACAAAGUGCUGGGAUUACAUGCGUGAGCCACCGCGCCGGGCCCAGAGUGUCCUUAUUCCCAAGUUCGUGAUUUUCAUAAUAGUAAGAGAACAAAAAACAAAUCUUACAAGCAAUAAAUUUUAUAAAUAGUCUUCUCUUAAGAUGCAGAACACCAACAUGGCACAUGUAUACAUAUGUAACAAACCUGCACGUUAUGCACAUGUACCCUAAAACUUAAAGUAUAAUAAAAAUAAACAAAUAAAUAAAUAUUCAACACCUCACUCUAAUUGGAAAGGAAAUGUGCCUACAGAAGUUAAAGCACAUUCUAUGAGUUUUAAUCUUAGGUGCCAAGAAGGAUCCAUGACCUCCACAUUUGACAGAGAAUAGAAAGACUCCACGGUUUUCAUCAUAAUCCAAGGGAGGUCAGUAAUAGUUUAUUUGCAUUUCUCGAGGGCUCUCUGGGGCCUCACUAUCUUACAUAAAAGUGAGUUUAAUCAUAGGACUUUCAGACAUUAGCCCACAGAUGGGACAUAUAUUUUGGGAUGGAGAACUUUUAAUAAAUCACAUUACCUAGGUGGCCUCUCAUUCUACUUCUCCAUAUGGCAGACUCUGUAGGAAAAAAAAAUGCUUCCUAUAAUGUUUCUUCUUUACCACAGAACUGUCAGAGGAAACAGCCGAGAAAAACUUAAAACUAAGCUACAAUAUUUGGCAAAAAUAAUGGUAGUUUUCAGAGGAGAAGCAAUUUUUCUGGCGUAUAUGUAGGAUAAGAGUAUCUUACCUUCCUUAAAUAAUGUUAUCUUUACCAGUAAACAUGAUGUAUUUGCCUUAACCUAGUCAAUUUCCUUUACCUGAAUUCCCUUAAGUUUAAAAUCAUAAUUUUUCAAGAUAAGGUUCUAGUCUUAGGAAUGUUGCUUAAGAACCUGAAAUAGAAUGAUACUAUUAUUUCAUCCUGGUAUUAAAAUCUCUAAAAUUUUCUACAAAACUAACAUUCUAUGUGUUCUGUGGCCAAUGUGAUAAUAAAUCCUUGCAUAACAACAGAGAAAAAUAUCCUAUACAUUUGUCUUACAUUUUUGCAAAAUAAAGAAAAUAUUUUGGAAUUAAACUAAUUUCAAAAUCCAAGAAUUUCUAUGAAAGAAUUUUUUAGCAGUAACCACAGAUGAAAAGAAUAUCAUUUAGUAUCUCUUCAUAGUGUCUUUAUAACAUAAUCUAAUCAUUGGUGUUUUAUAAUCUUUCAUAAUUUUUCAUAUAUUUGAUAAAUCCUGAUGUUGGGUUUAUUUCUGUUGAAACACCAGUAAUUGUUUUAUGUCACUUUGACUUUUUUCUAUAGUUUUGUUUUCUGCUUGUUUAUCUAAAUUAUCAUCAUAGUUGUAAUCUGAGAACUAGGCAAACAUAGGUACUUUUGACUAUCACUUUGGGGUGAUACUAUUUACCCAAUAUGAUUUUUUCCCAUUUUACUCUUGAAGUAUCCUGUUGCUUACUCUUUUGUGUAUGCAUACAUUUGAAACAUAUGACCUCCCAAGCAUUCUACUUUCUCUUAUUUUACUUAUUGUGUUGGCUUUACUGUUUAUGUAUGAUUUAACAUAAAUAAUUAUUUUGUUUUCUCUCUCCCAUCACCCACCCCAUUUACACGUUACAACAAGACUUCAUCAGCCCUGGGGUCAUGAUUUGAAUUAUAUUAUCUGUGCCAUUAAACAACCUUGAGCCUCAAUAAUAUCUGUUCAGAUUUUUUCAAUGGCUAUUGUUCAUUGAUAAUUACAUUCUGGGGACAUGCCAGAAUGAAAUCUCAUGGUUUCUCAGCCACAAAGAUUUGUUAAGAAUCAAAUUCAAAGGUAUUUGACUUGGUAUUUAUGAUUCAUGGCAAACCCAAGCAUAAUCUUUAGCAGAUCUUUAAGCUUCCUGAGCUUAUAAGCAAACUCUGUGUGUGUCUGUGUGUAUGUGUGUGUGUUCCUAUGUGGGUAAAUUUUUCUUGAUAGCAUCUCUGUGCUUUCAUCAUUAUCAAAAAGUUUCAGGACCCCAAAAUGGUUAAGAAACACUGACUAUGUGCUAGUUACAUUUCAAGAAUAUAUUUCUACAUAAAAAUGUUGUAUUUAUUCUAAAGGCAAAAGCCAUGGAACAAUGUGUACUUUUAAAAUAUUUAUGAGGAAUUAAAAAUUCAAUUAUUAUAAUUUUUCCAUUUUAAAAUUUUAGGAUGUGAUUUUGUAAUAGCCUCCAAAAAACAUUUAAAGCACCCAAGUAAUUAAACUAGUAAAAGUUCCUUAUAAACCAGAAAGCAAAACUAUUUUCCAAAUGGGCAAUAAAAAUAUUACUUUUGCAUGUAAAUAGUUGUUUAAGUGAAUUUAUUGUUUAUAUUAAUUAAAUUCUUUUGGACAAUUUGCCACUUAAAAAGAUCAGUGUUUGAACUCUAGGAAAUACUUGUUUAUGUAAUUUUUUUUGCAAGUAGGUAAGAAAAGUAUAUUUCAUUAUCAAAUAGCUACCCUGCAAUACUAACAUAAACAGCUAUUUACCCAUUUAGACUUAACUAUUCAGUCAAUUACACAACAGUCUUACCAUGUUAUUUAAUGAGUGGAACAAAAAUAAAGGUCUUUAUAACAGAUAAAAUAUUUCAUUUAUAUAAUGAAAUAAAAUAUCUUGGGAUUAAUAAAAAUAAUGAUUUUUUUCAUCCUAUGUAAAAUGUAGUUGAUAGCACUGAUAUAUUAAUAAUGUUAUGGGUGAAGUUUACAGUUCAUUACAAGUUGAAUGUACUUAAACAAUCUACAUCCUUCACUCCUUCAUUCAAUCAUUUAAUUCAGCCAUUCCUUAUUUGACAAAUGUGAUUUGUCAAAUCACAUUACUAAAUGUAUUAUACAUUUAGUAAUAACCAUACAUAUCAUGUUGAAUUGUUGUGAGG
rnacentral:lncRNA from 1 species